CAAUAGCGUAUAUUAAAGUUGUUGCAGUUAAAAGGCUCGUAGUUGGAUUUCUGGUGGGAGUGACCGUUCCGGACUUGAUUGUCUGUGUAUUGAGUUGUCUCCAGCCAUCCUUGUGGAGAACUUUUCUUGCAUUAAUUUGUAGGGAUUGGGAUCCACAUCGUUUACUGUGAAAAAAUUAGAGUGUUUAAAGCAGGCAAUCGCUUGAAUACAUUAGCAUGGAAUAAUAAGAUAGGACUUUGGUACUAUUUUGUUGGUUUGCAUACCAAAUUAAUGAUCAACAGGAACAGUUUGAGGAUAUUCGUAUGAACAUGUCAGAGGUGAAAUUCUUGGAUUUUGAUCAGACGAACUACUGCGAAAGCAUUUAUCAAGGAUGUUUUCAUUAA
rnacentral:rRNA from 1 species